rnacentral:misc_RNA from 1 species
AGAGGGAAAAGCUCAAAGUUUGGAACCCUGGUAGGCAUAGCUUACCCGGAUUGUAAACUAAAGUUUUCGAGUCGUUUAGUCAGCCAGGUAAAUAAGUCCUCUGGAAAGGGGCGACAUAGAGGGUGAAAUCCCCGUCUUUGGCCUGAGUUUUGAUUAGGCGUUUGGCUUGGAAACGAAGAGUCAGGUUGUUUGGGAAUGCAGCCUAAAAUGGGAGGUAAAUCUCUCCUAAAGCUAAAUAUUGACGAAAGACCGAUAGCGAACAAGUACCGUGAGGGAAAGAUGAAAAGCACUUUGAAAAGAGGGUCAAAAAGUACGUGAAAUUGCUGAAAGGGAACCGUAUGAAAUCAGAUCUACUGGUAGGUAAUCAAUCUUUCCUUUGGGAAGGAUGCACUUGCCUACUAUGUAUGCCAGCGACAUUUUGGUUGGGAGGAAAAAAAUAAAGGAAAUGUAGCUUAGGUUUCGGCUUAGGUGUUAUAGUCCUUUAUAAAAUACUCUCGGCUGGAAUGAGGAAC